AGGUGUUGAGGCGAUGAAACAAUCAAAACCAACUGAAAAAGUUAUGCUUGAGCUGACGGCAUGACUUCCAGAGCCAUUUGAAGGAAUCAGCAAUCUCAAGGUGAUCAAUAAGUGAUAAAUAUAUCUUUGUUGUGCGGAAGCCAUUCAGGGAGCAUUUGAGAGACCAUGUAUCAUGAUUAUGAUCCAGGGUAACCUGAUCAACCAUGAGCAUAAAUGCUUGGAACUGGUCAAAUGCCUCAAUAGA
rnacentral:lncRNA from 1 species